UUUUUUUAUUUGAAAAUAUAUUAAAAUAAUAUUUUUUUCUCUUAAAAUUUAUUUUCACAUCAACCUAUCAAAAUAAUUUAUAAUUAUUAAAAAAAAUUAAAACAAAAAAAAUUCAUAAUCGCUACUUAAACAAAAAAAAAGAAAAACAAACAAACAAACAUACUUUAAAUCCAAGUUCUGAGGUUUACCAUUAAUAUUCGAG
rnacentral:lncRNA from 1 species